rnacentral:rRNA from 1 species
UACGGAGGGUGCGAGCGUUAUUCGGAAUUACUGGGCGUAAAGGGCGUGCAGGCGGGAUCGUAGGUCUGAUGUGAAAGCCCGGGGCUCAACCCCGGAAGUGCAUUGGAAACCACGGUUCUUGAGUAUCGGAGAGGAAGGGAGAAUUCCCGGUGUAGAGGUGAAAUUCGUAGAGAUCGGGAGGAACACCAGUGGCGAAGGCGCCCUUCUGGACGACUACUGACGCUGAGACGCGAAAGCGUGGGGAGCAAACAGG